rnacentral:rRNA from 1 species
AUGCGGCGGCGAGGAAUGGGUUCGUUGGGGAAGUCGGGGAAGCGCCGGACAAGGUGCUUGCCUGCGGCCACCGCCCUCGCCUCCACAAUCACCACGUCCUCGUCGUCAUCCUCCACAAACCCCGAAGAAACCACCUCGCCAUCGCCCUACUUCCUACCGGAGCUGAUCCCGUUGAUCGCAAGCCGCUUGACGACCCUCGAGGACAUCUUCGCCCUCCGCGCUGCCUGCCGCGCCUACCGGGCUCGCCUCCCGCUGUCUUCCUCAACCCUCGCCUCGCAGGGUCCGCUACUCCUCGUCCAGCACAAGACGUCUGCCGCGCUCUUCCACGUCCCCCUCCGCCGCAUCCUGCGCUUCCGCCUCCCACGCGCCCGCCUAGCCCAUGGAAUAAGACCCACCUGCUUCGGCCGGCUCUUCACCCCCCAAGUCCGCAGCCUCACCUGCUUCCACUCCUUCGGCUGUCGCGUCGCCAUACAAGGCAUGAGCGCCGGCGCCAGCCGCCCCGAGCUCCGCAUCCGCCACCUCCUCACAGGUGAGCGAGCCCGCCUGCCUGAUCCCCCGAAAUGCGUUGGAGGUAUUCUCUUUUCCAAUGACCUAAUCCUUGCCUUCACGCCAUGGCACCGCGACAUCUACUACUGCCGCAUUGGGGAUGCUCAGUGGCAAGCGGCGCGGUGCGAUGAGGGCUACAACCUUCACAGUCUGAUGUUCGUGAAAGACACCCUCUAUGCGUUGAUUUAUCCAAAUUAUCGUCUUGCUGUUGUCGAUCUUGACAACAAUUCCGUGGUAUUGUCGUUUCUUGGGGAUGAACUCAGCGCACAUACAGUACCAGAUGGUAAUUUGGCGGACUGGCUCGCAGAGUGUCAUGGUGAGCUAUUGCUAAUUAUCAGAAGGAGGCUGUACCGUGUGUUCCAGUGGCAAUCUAAGGAGAGGAAGUGGGCGAGGACACAUAGCCUUGGUGGUUGUAGCUUGUUCUUUAAUAUGCAUGAGUUUGCUGGUUGCCUUGGUCCAGAUCAUCCGGGAGUUCGAAGAGACUGCUUGUACUUUACUGGAAGCUUUGGGAACUGGAGCGAGUAUUCUUUGGUUGAUAGAUCUUUGAAUGAAAUUGUUGCCGAGUACCCAGGGCAAUCAGUAUCGAAGGAUUUUGUAUCACUGGCUUGGGUCCUUCCAAGCAUUUGUUGA